CGACCUGCUCAGAGCAACCUGUGAACCUCUCUGGCUUGUUCCUCUCACUUGGUGUUGAAAGACUGGAAAAGGUAGACUGGCUGUGGGUCCUCAGUGGGGCUGUGUUUCUAGAUUUGUUUAGAAACUUGGAGUAGUUCAUCAGUCUACCAGGGGGGAAGGAAUCUGUCUAUCAGGUAGCCUGGAAUCAGAGACAGAGUCAGUGGUAACUGGGCCCAAAGGAAAGGGCAGUUUUGCAUUUAUUUUUCUAAUUUGCUUCUCCAUGGACAAACAGUCAUAUAAUUUUGGCCAUAUUUGGUUGACCUCCUGAAUCAAAUCUACCCUGUGCUAGUCUGUCCCCUCUAGAAUGGUCAAGACUAUCCAGAACUGCUUUCCUAUGAUCUGAGUAAUAAGACAAACCUGACAUAUAAACAGAAAACAAGAAGCCAAAGGAAGUAUACACACCCAGUCUAGAAUAAGCAUGAUAUUUGGGGUUUAAGAUCUCAGUAUCUCAAUUCUUUUGUUAAGAUUCUAACACCUUUUGGAAAAGCGAUUUGGGGAGCUCUCUGUGGCUUUCUGAACCCCAAACAGAUCUUGAUUGUAACUGUUCUGCAUCAGAUGGUAGAAGCUUGGUUUUCAGACUCCAACCCUUUAGUGAUAAUUACCUUAUUAAAUACAACUUUUUUAAAGGUGAAAUAAAAUGUCAGCUUGAAAUUGUGCAGUUGUAACCUGUCUUGGGAAGGACUCAUUUCGUAGUUCUCAUGCGAUGAUGUUUAUAACUAUUUUCAUUUUCCAACAGACAUUGAUUACCGGCAGAUAGAUCAUCCCUGACAUACCAGCCAGAGUUGAGGUCUCUAUUGAAAAGACCCUGAUGCUGCGAAAGAUUGAAGGCAGGAGGAGAAGGGGACGACAGAGGAUGAGAUGGUUGGAUGGCAUCACUGACUCAAUGGAUAUGAGUUUGAGGCCCGCCACUAAUACAUGGGGCUUCCCAGGUGGUGCUAGUGGUAAAGACCCUGCCUGCUGAUGCAGGAGAAUGUA
ensembl:lncRNA